UACGAAGGGGGCGAGCGUUGUUCGGAUUUACUGGGCAUAAAGGGCGCGCAGGCGGCCUAUUUUGUCAGGCGUGAAAGCCCCGGGCUUAACCUGGGAACUGCGUUUGAUACGGAUGGGCUAGAGUUCGGGAGAGGAGAGUGGAAUUCCCAGUGUAGAGGUGAAAUGCGCAGAUAUCAGGAGGAACACCGGUGGCGAAGGCUGCCUUCUGGACCAGCACUGACACUCAAGCACGAAAGCGUGGGGAGCAAACAGG
rnacentral:rRNA from 1 species